CUUCAGUUACAAAAUCUUCAAAUAUUUCUCGGUAUCAGAAUACAAACUAACUCAUAACUUUAAUACUCGGACUCUAUGUCCAACCCAUCAGAAACUACGCAGCCUGCGACUCUGAAAGAGAAGAGGUGGUGUGAGUUUUACAACAAAUAAGAAUCCCACACACUCACACCAAUAUAAAUAUAAUAAAUUUAAAAUAAAUAUUAACUACAAACCUCAUCAAAAUGCAGACAAAAUCAUAAAGCCUUAUACCAAUUAUUCAACAUAGCUCGAUAAAAUCUAUAUAAAUAUGCAUCCAUAGAUGUAUAUCGUCAAACAUAUAUCCCGUUCCAGAAAAUACUAAAGAUAUUAUCAUGCAGUGGUUUUAUACUUUCAAUCUUCUAUUUUUAUCCAGAUUUUCCAUCAACCAAUUAUCUUUUUGAUUUGGACUAUUCAUGGUCAUGCUUCGGCCCGUGACUAGCAAACCAAAAUAUCCACACUUCGGCCUGUGGUGGCAAACCAAAAUAUCCAUGCUUCGGCCUAUAGUGACAAACCAAGAUAACAGCACUUCGGUUCACAGUGGCAAACUAAGAGAACUGCAUUUCGGCCUGCAGUGGCAAAACAGAAUAUCCGCACUUCGGCUUGCAGUGGCAAACUAGAAUAUCCGUGCUUCAGCUCGCCGUGGCAAUCCAAGAUAAAUACGCUUUGGCCCACAAUGGCAAACCAAUGUGUCACGAUUCAGCUCAUGAGAGGCAAUCCAUAAUAUGUCUAAUCCAAAUUCUUUUGUUUAUUAAUAAAAUUAUUCAAUUUCAUCCAUACCAAAAAAAGUAUAAUUGUAUAUUAUAUUUUAUGCCUAAAUUCCAAAAUAAUCAGCAUUAUAUUCCAACAACCAAAACCAUAAUUCAAGCAGCCAUAAUCAUCGAUAUUUGAUAUCUCCUUAUAUUAACGAAAUAUAUAUGUUAGAAAUCAUUAAGCAAUCACACCAAAACGAUGCAAACCCUAAAACCAUCAACAUAUAUUACAAUAUAUAUUAUUUAUAAAGGUGAUUGUGCACAGGACUUCUUACCUCUAUCGAUGAUCGACUAAAUACAACGAUCUAUGAGUGAGGUGCAGAGUAGCACCCCAAUCAAUUGGCGCAGAUGACUCUCCCUCUAAAGGUUCGAACUCAAUGAUCAAAAAAAAUCAAACAGCGACCACCAGGGGUCCAUCACAAGAUCUGUCGAGUCCUUACUACCACCUAGCCGGGUCAACUAGAGAGAGACACCAUGAGAGAAAAAAAAGUAAGAAGGAAAAGAGAGAAAUUAGAGAGAAAUAGAGAGAGGAGAGAAAGAGAGAGAAAAGAGAGAAGAGGGGAGAAGAGAGAGGUAAGAGAGAGAAACCUCUCUCUUCUCCCUCUCUUCAUGAACAGCGAAGUCAUCUUCUCCUUCUCUUUUUCCUUUUCCCCAUUUCCCCCCAUAGAUCUAAUGGCGUGCAGCCAAGGUGGCCCAGCCCCCACUCGAUGGAAGCCAUAUGUGGCCACAGACCCGGCCAAACUCGGCGGCCGGUGGCAGUGGAAUCGCAGAAGAAGAAGAUGAAAACAGGGCACCCUCGUUUCAGACGAUUUUUUGGCGAUUCGCCAACUCAAAUCGAAGUGAAUCACGACUAAAAGACUUGGAGAAGAAAAGAAGAGGAAUGGAUUUGGUCAUACCUCAAUCCGACGAAGAUCCGACGACUCUUUCUGGUGAAAAUCAGAGGAGAAAACUCGGAAUAAAAAAAAUUUGGGAUCGGCGGCUUGUUUUGAGGGAUUUGCGAUGGUUCAACGGAGGAGAAGAAGCCCUUUUGUAGAUGAAAUCCCCCAUGUCCUCAUCGGAGUCCAACACCUUUCGAGUCCCGGUUUCCUUGCCGGACUUGGGGAGGAAGAAGACUCUCAUUGGGAGUCUUCCUCCCGGACUCACAUGCCAGGCGCACAUUGUGGCCCAAAUGGCCAGCCCUAUCCUCUCCCAGGCCGGCCCAGGCCCAUUUUAAAACAGGUCCUUACGGGUUGUGUCAAGAUUUCAGCGCAUGGAAUUGAAAUUAAAUUCUGUUCUUGGUUACCCUGCAUCCAGUUAAGUUUCAUCUUGAUAUUUUAAACACAUUUUACUCAAGAACACUUAUUGACAAUAUAUUUGUUUAAUGGGCAUUGUGCACAGCAUCUAUGAUUUUGCCUCAUUUGUCCCUCUAAUAUUUAGAAACAUAGUUUUCUAGAAAUUGUAGCAUUGUGGAUUUUUUACAUUUCCUUUAAAAGUUGUGUCGAACAA
rnacentral:lncRNA from 1 species